rnacentral:tRNA from 1 species
GGGGCUGUGGCUCAGUGGUAGAGCACUCAUUUUGCAUGUGUGAAGCCCUGGGUUCUAUCUUCAGCACCA